AGAGUUUGAUUUUGGCUCAGGAUGAACGCUAGCUACAGGCUUAACACAUGCAAGUCGAGGGGCAUCAGUUUGGUUUGCUUGCAAACCAAAGCUGGCGACCGGCGCACGGGUGAGUAACACGUAUCCAACCUGCCUCAUACUCGGGGAUAGCCUUUCGAAAGAAAGAUUAAUAUCCGAUAGCAUAUAUUUCCCGCAUGGGUUUUAUAUUAAGAAAUUCGGUAUGGGAUGGGGAUGCGUUCCAUUAGUUUGUUGGCGGGGUAACGGCCCACCAAGACUACGAUGGAUAGGGGUUCUGAGAGGAAGGUCCCCCACAUUGGAACUGAGACACGGUCCAAACUCCUACGGGAGGCAGCAGUGAGGAAUAUUGGUCAAUGGACGCGAGUCUGAACCAGCCAAGUAGCGUGAAGGAUGACUGCCCUAUGGGUUGUAAACUUCUUUUAUAUGGGAAUAAAGUGGUCCACGUGUGGAUUUUUGUAUGUACCAUAUGAAUAAGGAUCGGCUAACUCCGUGCCAGCAGCCGCGGUAAUACGGAGGAUCCGAGCGUUAUCCGGAUUUAUUGGGUUUAAAGGGAGCGUAGGCGGAUUGUUAAGUCAGUUGUGAAAGUUUGCGGCUCAACCGUAAAAUUGCAGUUGAUACUGGCAGUCUUGAGUGCAGUAGAGGUGGGCGGAAUUCGUGGUGUAGCGGUGAAAUGCUUAGAUAUCACGAAGAACUCCGAUUGCGAAGGCAGCUCACUGGAGUGUAACUGACGCUGAUGCUCGAAAGUGUGGGUAUCAAACAGGAUUAGAUACCCUGGUAGUCCACACAGUAAACGA
rnacentral:rRNA from 1 species